GUGUGCACUUCAGGGGCACAUACAUUAAAACUGGAACACUACAGAAGAUUAGCCUGGCCCCUGAACAAGGAUGACAUGCAAAUUUGUGACGUGCUCCAUAUCUUU
rnacentral:snRNA from 1 species